rnacentral:rRNA from 1 species
UUAAGUUAUUAAGGGCGCACGGUGGAUGCCUUGGCACUAGAAGCCGAUGAAGGACGUUACUAACGACGAUAUGCUUUGGGGAGCUGUAAGUAAGCUUUGAUCCAGAGAUUUCCGAAUGGGGAAACCCAGCAUGAGUUAUGUCAUGUUAUCGAUAUGUGAAUACAUAGCAUAUCAGAAGGCACACCCGGAGAACUGAAACAUCUUAGUACCCGGAGGAAGAGAAAGAAAAUUCGAUUCCCUUAGUAGCGGCGAGCGAAACGGGAAGAGCCCAAACCAACAAGCUUGCUUGUUGGGGUUGUAGGACACUCUAUACGGAGUUACAAAGGACGACAUUAGACGAAUCAUCUGGAAAGAUGAAUCAAAGAAGGUAAUAAUCCUGUAGUCGAAAAUGUUGUCUCUCUUGAGUGGAUCCUGAGUACGACGGAGCACGUGAAAUUCCGUCGGAAUCUGGGAGGACCAUCUCCUAAGGCUAAAUACUCUCUAGUGACCGAUAGUGAACCAGUACCGUGAGGGAAAGGUGAAAAGCACCCCGGAAGGGGAGUGAAAUAGAACCUGAAACCGUGUGCUUACAAGUAGUCAGAGCCCGUUAAUGGGUGAUGGCGUGCCUUUUGUAGAAUGAACCGGCGAGUUACGAUUUGAUGCAAGGUUAAGCAGUAAAUGUGGAGCCGUAGCGAAAGCGAGUCUGAAUAGGGCGUUUAGUAUUUGGUCGUAGACCCGAAACCAGGUGAUCUACCCUUGGUCAGGUUGAAGUUCAGGUAACACUGAAUGGAGGACCGAACCGACUUACGUUGAAAAGUGAGCGGAUGAACUGAGGGUAGCGGAGAAAUUCCAAUCGAACCUGGAGAUAGCUGGUUCUCUCCGAAAUAGCUUUAGGGCUAGCCUCAAGUGAUGAUUAUUGGAGGUAGAGCACUGUUUGGACGAGGGGCCCCUCUCGGGUUACCGAAUUCAGACAAACUCCGAAUGCCAAUUAAUUUAACUUGGGAGUCAGAACAUGGGUGAUAAGGUCCGUGUUCGAAAGGGAAACAGCCCAGACCACCAGCUAAGGUCCCAAAAUAUAUGUUAAGUGGAAAAGGAUGUGGCGUUGCCCAGACAACUAGGAUGUUGGCUUAGAAGCAGCCAUCAUUUAAAGAGUGCGUAAUAGCUCACUAGUCGAGUGACACUGCGCCGAAAAUGUACCGGGGCUAAACAUAUUACCGAAGCUGUGGAUUGUCCUUUGGACAAUGGUAGGAGAGCGUUCUAAGGGCGUUGAAGCAUGAUCGUAAGGACAUGUGGAGCGCUUAGAAGUGAGAAUGCCGGUGUGAGUAGCGAAAGACGGGUGAGAAUCCCGUCCACCGAUUGACUAAGGUUUCCAGAGGAAGGCUCGUCCGCUCUGGGUUAGUCGGGUCCUAAGCUGAGGCCGACAGGCGUAGGCGAUGGAUAACAGGUUGAUAUUCCUGUACCACCUAUAAUCGUUUUAAUCGAUGGGGGGACGCAGUAGGAUAGGCGAAGCGUGCGAUUGGAUUGCACGUCUAAGCAGUAAGGCUGAGUAUUAGGCAAAUCCGGUACUCGUUAAGGCUGAGCUGUGAUGGGGAGAAGACAUUGUGUCUUCGAGUCGUUGAUUUCACACUGCCGAGAAAAGCCUCUAGAUAGAAAAUAGGUGCCCGUACCGCAAACCGACACAGGUAGUCAAGAUGAGAAUUCUAAGGUGAGCGAGCGAACUCUCGUUAAGGAACUCGGCAAAAUGACCCCGUAACUUCGGGAGAAGGGGUGCUCUUUAGGGUUAACGCCCAGAAGAGCCGCAGUGAAUAGGCCCAAGCGACUGUUUAUCAAAAACACAGGUCUCUGCUAAACCGUAAGGUGAUGUAUAGGGGCUGACGCCUGCCCGGUGCUGGAAGGUUAAGAGGAGUGGUUAGCUUCUGCGAAGCUACGAAUCGAAGCCCCAGUAAACGGCGGCCGUAACUAUAACGGUCCUAAGGUAGCGAAAUUCCUUGUCGGGUAAGUUCCGACCCGCACGAAAGGCGUAACGAUUUGGGCACUGUCUCAACGAGAGACUCGGUGAAAUCAUAGUACCUGUGAAGAUGCAGGUUACCCGCGACAGGACGGAAAGACCCCGUGGAGCUUUACUGUAGCCUGAUAUUGAAAUUCGGCACAGCUUGUACAGGAUAGGUAGGAGCCUUUGAAACGUGAGCGCUAGCUUACGUGGAGGCGCUGGUGGGAUACUACCCUAGCUGUGUUGGCUUUCUAACCCGCACCACUUAUCGUGGUGGGAGACAGUGUCAGGCGGGCAGUUUGACUGGGGCGGGCGGCCCCCCAAA